GGUCAGAGCCUUUGAAGAGGACACUGGUAACGUAAUGGGUACCACUUGGCCGCCGCGCUCUUACACUUGCACCUUUUGUAGAAGGGAAUUCCGGUCAGCUCAAGCACUAGGUGGUCACAUGAAUGUGCACCGCCGUGACCGCGCUAGGCUCCACCAAACAGUACAACCACCAGGUUCAAUCAACCCCAAUUCAUCAUCGACUUCCACUUCUUCCUCAACUUUCUUAAUCCCAGCUCAAGAAUUUU
rnacentral:misc_RNA from 1 species